GAUGAACGCUAGCGGCAGGCCUAACACAUGCAAGUCGAGGGGCAGCAUAAAAUAAACUUGUUUAUUUGGUGGCGACCGGCGCACGGGUGCGUAACGCGUAUGCAACCUACCUUACACAGGGGGAUAGCCCGGAGAAAUUCGGAUUAAUACCCCAUAGCACUAUCGGAUGGCAUCAUUUGAUAUUUAAAGCUUUGUCGGUGUAAGAUGGGCAUGCGUCCUAUUAGCUAGUUGGUGAAGUAACGGCUCACCAAGGCUACGAUAGGUAGGGGGCCUGAGAGGGUGGUCCCCCACACUGGUACUGAGACACGGACCAGACUCCUACGGGAGGCAGCAGUGAGGAAUAUUGGUCAAUGGGCGCAAGCCUGAACCAGCCAUGCCGCGUGAAGGAUGAAGGUUCUAUGGAUUGUAAACUUCUUUUAUUUGGGAAUAAACCCCUUUACGUGUAGAGGGCUGAAGGUACCAAAUGAAUAAGCACCGGCUAACUCCGUGCCAGCCGCCGCGGUAAAAC
rnacentral:rRNA from 1 species